GAACGCUGGCGGCGUGCCUAAUACAUGCAAGUCGAGCGAACAGACGGGGAGCUUGCUCCUCUGACGUUAGCGGCGGACGGGUGAGUAACACGUGGAUAACCUACCUAUAAGACUGGGAUAACUUCGGGAAACCGGAGCUAAUACCGGAUAAUAUAUUGAACCGCAUGGUUCAAUAGUGAAAGACGGUUUUGCUGUCACUUAUAGAUGGAUCCGCGCCGCAUUAGCUAGUUGGUAAGGUAACGGCUUACCAAGGCAACGAUGCGUAGCCGACCUGAGAGGGUGAUCGGCCACACUGGAACUGAGACACGGUCCAGACUCCUACGGGAGGCAGCAGUAGGGAAUCUUCCGCAAUGGGCGAAAGCCUGACGGAGCAACGCCGCGUGAGUGAUGAAGGUCUUCGGAUCGUAAAACUCUGUUAUUAGGGAAGAACAAAUGUGUAAGUAACUAUGCACGUCUUGACGGUACCUAAUCAGAAAGCCACGGCUAACUACGUG
rnacentral:rRNA from 1 species